AUAUCAAUAAGCGGAGGAAAAGAAACUAACAAGGAUUCCCCUAGUAACGGCGAGUGAAGCGGGAACAGCUCAAAUUUGAAAUCUCUCUGUUUUGCAGAGCGAAUUGUAGUUUAAAGAAUCGUUUUCGGAAAGAGUCGCUGGUACAAGUUCAUUGGAACAUGACAUCAUAGAGGGUGAAAAUCCCGUCUUUGACCAGUGUGCGAUUUCUAUGUGAUACGUUUUCUAAGAGUCGGUUUGUUUGGGAAUGCAGACCAAAAUGGGUGGUAAAUACCAUCUAAAGCUAAAUAUUGGCGAGAGACCGAUAGCGCACAAGUA
rnacentral:rRNA from 1 species